rnacentral:tRNA from 1 species
GGCUGUAGCUCAGUGGUAGAGAAUCUGCUUGGUGUGUAGAAAAUCCCAGGUUUGUUCCCUGGAAUCUCCA